rnacentral:lncRNA from 1 species
AAUACUUUAUAUUAUAUAAAAGGCCAUUAGUGCAAAAAAUACUAUUAAAACAUUAUUGCAAAAUAUAAAAAAUGGUGUCCUAGCCAAGCUUCAAAAUUUGAUUUCGCCCAUUUUUUGUAAGAACUUUAAUCUACUCAUAUUCUAUUUGUACGCAAAAAAUUAGUCAAAAUUAGUUGGCUUCAUUUAGACCUAUAAUUGGAAAAAGUCAUAAUCGUAAUAAUAGUAAAUUUCAUCUUUUUACUUUUAGAAAAUAUGUUCGUCUGUGUUAUUCUUCCUUUCUAUCCCCUCUAACUUUUAAAUAUUCAUAAUCUUGUCAUGAAUAUAUUUGGAUCAUUCAUCAUAUUUAUCAAAAUAAAAUAUUUUAUUAUUUAAAAGGACUUAUCUAUAAGUUUUGCAAAAUAUAUAAAAUUAUGCAAAACAGAUUUUUGAUUUUAUUAGUUUGCUAUUUAUUCAGAAUAGGUGACAGAUUUCUUAUGAACCACUGAUUCCAUUCUCGACUCGGUUGCGUCGCUGAAUUCCCGAACUCCAAGGGAUUUAUCCAUUUUAGUCUGCAUGCGUACAAAAAUCACACUUAAUUAAUGUUAAAUGGUUGGAAAUAAACCCGAACAACUGAAUUUGUUUGGUGAUUUGAUUCUCGUAUGGAGACGAAGGCUCUCUGUUGCGGCUUCUCUUUUAAUUGUCCCUCCGACUCCAUCCGCUGAUCCUCUGCAAUGAUUAGAAGCAAAAAAAAUGCCGCUCAGGGAUAUGAAAUUUAACUUCAUGACGUAUCAGGUUCUAAAAUGUUUUAGCUUUUGUAUUAACCGGAGCAGUCUUCGGGAAAAUAACACAUAUUUUAUAUAAAUCCGAACGUGGCCUUCAAAUAUAUUAUUGAUUGGCGCUGGAACAAAUAUACCGUAACUCAAGGAAUACUGAAAUAGUUUUGGUAUUCCUUGUGUAACAAAAAAGAUCCAAGGUGUAUCGUCGCCUGCGAAGAAUUCCAAUAAAAACCCUGAGCAGCAUCCUGUAUUACAAAGCUGUAAUUUUCAGAAAAUUCUUCAAUUACAACAAAUUCACCUUGCAUAAUUUUAGAUAGAAAAAUUACUUUGUGGCUAAGCAAUGAAGUCGUGCAUUGCCAGCUUUCCUGCUUUGUGCAUACAAUGUUUGCACAAAAUUUUUGAUUGAAAAUAUAAUACUAGUAAAAUAUGAGCUAUUGGUCGAUAUCCACUGCUAAAAUUGGACUUAAUCAAAACUAUUUUCCUCAAAGUGGUUGAUCAAUUUAUCCUUGAGCAAAUCAGUUGUUGCUAUUUUUCCCUAGACCCAUCUAGAUACUAAUCCUACAGUAACCUAAUAUAUUAAAAUGUAUUGUACAAUACAUCACUAUUUCUAUUGCUUCUCUGAACCUUUGAUAGUCUGACAAAAAAAUAAGUAGUCGAAUACUGGAUAAUUAAAAGGUGAAGUAUAUCGGAUGUUUAUCGAAAGUGGACUUAAGGAUAUUAUAGAAAAAAAUUCCUUGUUAAAUGGAUAUAUAUUUUAAACGUCUAUCUUAGUUGACUUAUUUAAUUUCAAUGACUUAUAUAAUCUUGGGUCCAUAUUGAAAACAUAUAAAUUAGUAUCAUUCAAUCUUAGCUACUUCAUUGAUUCAUACUCAUUCAAAUUCAAAUUAGAAAAAUAAAAAUUUGUAGUAUCGAA